GACGAACGCUGGCGGCGUGCUUAACACAUGCAAGUCGAACGGAAAGGCCCUGCUUUUGUGGGGUGCUCGAGUGGCGAACGGGUGAGUAACACGUGAGUAACCUGCCCUUGACUUUGGGAUAACUUCAGGAAACUGGGGCUAAUACCGGCUAGGAGCUCCUGCUGCCUGGUGGGGGUUGGAAAGUUUCGGCGGUUGGGGAUGGACUCGCGGCUUAUCAGCUUGUUGGUGGGGUAGUGGCUUACCAAGGCUUUGACGGGUAGCCGGCCUGAGGGGGUGACCGGCCACAUUGGGACUGAGAUACGGCCCAGACUCCUACGGGAGGCAGCAGUGGGGAAUAUUGCACAAUGGGCGGAAGCCUGAUGCAGCAACGCCGCGUGCGGGAUGACGGCCUUCGGGUUGUAAACCGCUUUCGCCUGUGACGAAGCGUGAGUGACGGUAAUGGGUAAAGAAGCACCGGCUAACUACGUG
rnacentral:rRNA from 1 species